AUAUGGAAAAAAUAAUUAAUUAAAACUGAACUAAGGCCCCUGGGCCCCUCACAGUGUCCCAUGCUAGAGCAAACUGUGGCUCCUAACCAUUGCCCGGGCUCUGUGCCUGCAGGCUGCUGGAACUACAGUGGGUCACACAGUG
ensembl:snoRNA Gm24284 predicted gene, 24284